rnacentral:rRNA from 1 species
GAUGAACGCUGGCGGCGUGCCUAAUACAUGCAAGUCGAGCGAACGGACGAGAAGCUUGCUUCUCUGAUGUUAGCGGCGGACGGGUGAGUAACACGUGGAUAACCUACCUAUAAGACUGGGAUAACUUCGGGAAACCGGAGCUAAUGCCGGAUGAUAUUUUGAACCGCAUGGUUCAAAAGUGAAAGACGGUCUUGCUGUCACUUAUAGAUGGAUCCGCGCUGCAUUAGCUAGUUGGUAAGGUAACGGCUUACCAAGGCAACGAUGCAUAGCCGACCUGAGGGGGUGAUCGGCCACACUGGAACUGAGACACGGUCCAGACUCCUACGGGAGGCAGCAGUAGGGAAUCUUCCGCAAUGGGCGAAAGCCUGACGGAGCAACGCCGCGUGAGUGAUGAAGGUCUUCGGAUCGUAAAACUCUGUUAUUAGGGAAGAACAUAUGUGUAAGUAACUGUGCACAUCUUGACGGUACCUAAUCAGAAAGCCACGGCUAACUACGUG